GAUGAACGCUGGCGGCGUGCCUAAUACAUGCAAGUCGAGCGAACGGACGAGAAGCUUGCUUUUCUGAUGUUAGCGGCGGACGGGUGAGUAACACGUGGAUAACCUACCUAUAAGACUGGGAUAACUUCGGGAAACCGGAGCUAAUACCGGAUAAUAUUUUGAACCGCAUGGUUCAAAAGUGAAAGACGGUCUUGCUGUCACUUAUAGAUGGAUCCGCGCUGCAUUAGCUAGUUGGUAAGGUAACGGCUUACCAAGGCAACGAUGCAUAGCCGACCUGAGAGGGUUAUCGGCCACACUGGAACUGAGACACGGUCCAGACUCCUACGGGAGGCAGCAGUAGGGAAUCUUCCGCAAUGGGCGAAAGCCUGACGGAGCAACGGCGCGUGAGUGAAGAAGGUCUUCGGAUCGUAAAACUCUGUUAUUAGGGAAGAACAUAUGUGUAAGUAACUGUGCACAUCUUGACGGUACCUAAUCAGAAAGCCACGGCUAACUACGUG
rnacentral:rRNA from 1 species